AUCAACUUCUCAAUGUUAUUGCACUGACAUACAUUCCGAAUUUAAACCAGGCGUACGAAUCUGGCAAGGAUGUCCUCUUUUUUGAGUGUGAUCUUCUAAAUCGGGCGAGCAUUGACCACUUGUUUAGUACUAUAGCGUCGGAGGUCCCAUCUGGAAUCGACAUAUUGGUAAACAAUGCAGAAUAAAAUGGCAACGUCGAGAUAUGUUCAAACCUCUGGGAAGAAAAAGGAGAAACCGUUUAAAAUUGAAAAGCAACAAAACAUCGCUGGUAAACAAUAGUACAGCGAAGACUUUCAGAGAGUAUUUGAAAGGUGAGAGAGAUAACGUUGACGAGUUUGAAUUCCAUAGAUCAUCGGUUUUAUUUUUUUGUUUUUUUUGUAGAAUAAAUGUCUCAGUUGACAGACCUAGGGUAAACAAAACAUUUAUUGGGUUUGUUAUUGAAUGACUAUAGAAAUAUAUAUCGGGUUGAUCGAUCUCAUAGAUUAAACCGAUAUAUUUCUGUAGUCAGCCAGAAACAGACAUAAUAAGUAAAGAUACCUUGAGGACAUUAUUAACUUAAGCCAGGUAAAACUAGGUUUUCUUCCUGGAUGGUUAACCAUAAAACUACUGAACAAAUUAAAUCUUAAAUGCGUGGUCUUUCCGGAAAUGUUUGAGACAUUUUCUCUUACUACCUCGAACAAAUAUAUAAUUCGUAUAUGCUCUCUCUCUCUCUCUCUCUCUCUCUCUCUCUCUCUCUCUCUCUCUCUCUCAAGUCGCAAGCGGCAAUGUCUUAACUCCGCCCAGCUACGAUCUGAUUGGAGAAAGCCAUGACUGAGCGCUGUCCAAUGGAAGAGAAAACUCUGGAGAGCUGGGACAAUGAAAUGGCGCUAAAUUUGACGGCUCCAUUUAUGCUGUCUAAACACUUUGCCGGAUCCAUGAAAAAGAAAGGAUGGGGUCGAAUUAUGAUUAUGUCCUCGGUGGCCGGUAUGCUUACCUUUCCGUGUACAAUAGGAUACUGUACUUCUAAGACAGCACUUAUUGGCCUCACCAAGGCCAUAGCAGUGGAAUUGGCCCCGCACGGAGUGACUUGCAACGCCAUCUGUCCGUACUUUGUUGAUACUCCUUUAUUCAACCCUUUUUGGAUUCGUUGAAGGAAGAAACUGGACAGUCUCGUGAGGAAACUUUGGACAAUAUUCGAAAUUCUUGUCCAACAAAAACGUUCACUACACCAAAACAGAUCGGGGACUAUGUAGUCUUUCUGUGUUCACCAGCUGCUGACAACAUGACAGGAUUGACCACGCCCAUGGAUGGCGGGUACAGCAUCGUGUGAGAUGACGUCAUAAUUAGUGACCACGCCCCUGCAUAACAAUGUUUCGACAAAAACAUCGUAUCUGGUUUUACCGCGAAAAAGGAAUUGUAGGUAACAUGUCAUCUGAUCAUUUUAUUGAGCAGCAAUUGCCGAAGAGAAAAUGAAAUGGAAAAUACUUGAAUGUGAAAAGGGAAAAAAAACGGAAUUUUGAACAACGAUGAUAGUCAAUAUUGUAUAUAUUUCUGAAAAAGCUAUUGUUCCUUUUUACUUUGUAUUAACAGAAAAUAAAAUGAUUUUCUUAAC
rnacentral:misc_RNA from 1 species